GACGAACGCUGGCGGCGUGCCUAAUACAUGCAAGUCGAACGCAGUGGGGACGAGUGAGUAACACGUGGGUAACUUCCCAUCAGAGGGGAUAACACUUGGAAACAGGUGCUAAACCGAUAUUGAUGGAUGGACCCGCGUUGCAUUAUCUAGUUGGUGAGGUAACGGCUCACCAAGGCCACGAUGCAUAGCCGUCCUGAGUGUAUGUCCACCCACACUGGAACGGAGACACGGUCCAGACGCCUACGGGAGGCAGCAGUGGGGAAUAUUGCACAAUGGGCGCAAGCCUGAUGCAGCCAUGCCGCGUGUAUGAAGAAGGCCUUCGGGUUGUAAAGUACUUUCAGCGGGGAGGCGUUACCCGCAGAAGAAGCACCGGCUAACUCCGUGCCAGCAGCCGCGGUAAUAC
rnacentral:rRNA from 1 species